CUGAUGCAGCAACGCCGCGUGAGGUAUGAAGGCCUUUGGGUGUGUGAAGCCUCUGUCCUAGGGGAAGAAAAAAAUGACGGUACCCGAGGAGGAAGCCCCGGCUAACUACGUGCCAGCAGCCGCGGUAAUACGUAGGGGGCAAGCGUUAUCCGGAAUUAUUGGGCGUAAAGAGUGCGUAGGUGGUCUACUAAGCGCGAGGUGAAAGGCAAUGGCUCAACCAUUGUUAGCCUUGUGAACUGGCAGACUUGAGUGCAAGAGAGGAAAGCGGAAUUCCUAGUGUAGCGGUGAAAUGCGCAGAUAUUAGGAGGAACACCGGCGGCGAAGGCGGCUUUCUGGAUUGUAACUGACACUGAGGCACGAAAGCGUGGGUAGCAAACAGGAUUAGAUACCCUGGUAGUCCACGCCGUAAACGAUGAGCACUAGGUGUCGGGACAUGAGUCUCGGUGCCGCAGUUAACGCAAUAAGUGCUCCGCCUGGGGAGUACGCACGCAAGUGUAAAACUCAAAGGAACUGACGGGGACCGCACAAGCAGCGAGCAUGUGGUUAAUUCGAGCACGCGAGA
rnacentral:rRNA from 1 species